rnacentral:rRNA from 1 species
UACGAAGGGGGCUAGCGUUGUUCGGAAUCACUGGGCGUAAAGGGCGCGUAGGCGGCUUUAUAAGUCGGGGGUGAAAGCCUGUGGCUCAACCACAGAAUUGCCUUCGAUACUGUAGAGCUUGAGACCGGAAGAGGUAAGUGGAACUGCGAGUGUAGAGGUGAAAUUCGUAGAUAUUCGGAAGAACACCAGUGGCGAAGGCGGCCAACUGGUCCGGUACUGACGCUGAGGUGCGAAAGCGUGGGGAGCAAACAGG